rnacentral:lncRNA from 1 species
AUCUAUUGUCUCAAUAUGAUAUCCAUUUCGACGGAUAUCUUUAAAACUCAAUAAGUUCCUCUUGGACUUGGAAGAGAACAUUGCAUUCUCUAUGAUAAAUAUUGUUCCUUUAGGCAGAGUUAUAGUUGCUCUUCCGGAGCCUUCAAUCAAAUUACUACUACCAGAAAUUGUAGUAACAUCUGCCUUACACAUACUUAAAUGAGAGAAAUAUUUCUUCUCUUUGAAUAUGGUAUGUGUGGUACAUGAAUCAAUU